UCUAUUGGUUGGUUUGGUGGUUACAGGCUGCAUUUUCGUGCCUUGCUCAGUAUGUGUUUUGCUUGGCAACGAGAGAGCUACAUUCUGCAUACUGGAAGAGAAAGUAAAGUGAUUAAAAGAA